GCCCCGGUCUGCCAGCCCCCAACACCGGGCCUGGCCUGCAGUAGGUGCUCAGCAAACUCUCUCACCGGAUCAGGAACAGCAGGGCCAGGAGCUCACUGGCCUGAGCCCCAGAGCGUCCUUCCCCCUGAGAGUCUCAGCAGUGGGCCUCUCCAGGACAUAGUGAGCACCCCGUCGUUGGAGGCGUGCCAGAGGGCCCGGGAGCCUCUGGCGGGGGGACAUCGUAGGAACAGCUGUGACACACGGGUCGGCACAAAUCUUGGCUUCUUUAAACUGUCCUCCUUGGUUCCAGACGACAGCAAAGAGUCGUAUGCUCAGAGUAGCCAAGAUCGUAAAGACAGAAACUGCCGUGGUGGACGCCAGGGGCCGGGGGAGAGGGGAGCGGGGGUAGGGGGGCUGGUGUUUAUGGGGACAGACUUUCAGUUUCCUGAGUGCUGGGACGGAUGGUGGGGCUGUUUGCCCGAGAACGUGCACGUGGUUAAUACCACCGAACCGGGCACUUCAAACGGCGAACACGACACCUUUUAAGUGGUGUGUGUGUUACCACAAUAAACAAUAAAAGCGCUGGGCCGGGCGCGCCGGGGUCCAGAGGAGCCGUGACAGGCUGUGCACGGGAUGUGACCUGACUCCCGAUUCCUGGGGCUGCUGAGCAGGGAGACCAUCACGCUGAGGCUGCUGGUGGUCGUCCUGCCGCCUUGCGGGGACUCUCCGGAGAAAGCAGGCAAGCAGAGUGGGGCCUGGAAAGAGACAAGAGCUGGAAACAUCUCAACUGACCCAGGCCCACGUCUGUCCGGCUGAUGUUCGCCCAUUUUCAGACGCAAAGCCCACACCUGAGAAGUCACCUGGUGCCCAGGAGGCCCACGGGGACUCGAGGCUCUGUCUGCUCGGUGGUGCUGUGAACACAAAACUGCUCGGAAGCAGGAAGCCUAGUAAACAGCGCGUCAGGGGACUGGUGCCGCGGAGGCCUGGCCUCUCUGGCACUGGUGACAGCUGGACCCCCGGCCCCCCCCGCCUGCCUCCGCGGCAUCCCCGGCGGGUGCUUCCUGUGGCUGAGUCGUGGCGUGCCCAGGCGGUUUCCUCCUCCACUUACCAGGGGACUUUGGGGUUGUUUCCAGGCUUUUUGGCUUCUACAAAUAAAGCUGUUAUAACGUUAAAAAACAAAAACACCCAGGGGCUGUGGAGCCCAGCUGUGCACGGAGCAAGCCCCUCCCUCCACAGCCAGCGCCACGCGGCUGGGGGCGUCGUGGGGCAGGCCACGGAAGGCGCCAGGAAGUGGACCACGACCCCACAGCCCCGCGCACCUGCCCGGGGGGUCAGGAGAGCUCACGGACGCCCCCGUGCCCAGGGCCAGCGCCCUCCAACACUGUUUCCUG
rnacentral:lncRNA from 1 species